CUAUGCACUAGCAAACCCACUCCCUGGCCUAGACAGAAGCUCCUGCUGCCCUGACUGGUUAUUUAUUACAUAAAAAAUGAACACCCUCCUGCCCAUCUUUCCUUCUCACUCCUGUUGCUCCUCCUCCCUCUUUACUGCUUCCCUCAGUCUUUGUAAUGAGAAGGGUGCCUGCUGAACUCUGCAAAGACAAGGCUGAGAGAUUAACUAGCGAGGAAGUUAACAGCCAAAGCCAACCCAUAGGCUGAUUGUAACUUAUCCCAUCAUUUCCCCUAAACUGGGAUUCAAGGUGGCUUAUGAAGUAGAAGGAUUACAAAUAAAACAUAUGGUUAAAUCCAUGCAAAAAGGCAAGAGAAAGAGGAAGAUCUGUCUAAGAAGCAGAGCCCUCCCUCCAGUUCAUCUGAUGGCAUCCGGCCACAGAGGGAGGGAUGCAGGUCCAGCUCCAUCGGGCAUGGCCUGAGCUAAGAAGCAAAGCCCUCCCUCCAGUCCAUCUGCCUUGGUCCAGGCCUCAGAGAGAGAGAACUGCUGGAUCUAAUCCCCUCCCCACCACCAUUCCCUUCUCCUUUUGUGUUGUGUGUUUUUAGAUUGUAAGCCUGAGGGCAUGGAACCAUGUAAUUAAAACUAAUAAUUGUAAGUCGCUCUGAGAGCCUUUAGGGCUGAAGGGCGGG